AGCGUCUGUGUGCUCUGCAUGCUGGCAUGCAAGCGCACACAGACAUUUGCCAGGCAAGGGAGUAUGAGCAGGGAGCGCCGAAGGCGCGGAGUGCGAAUACGGCCGCCGAUUGCGGGAGCGGCGAAGGCGCGUAGCAAUCGGGGC
rnacentral:sRNA from 1 species